ACCGCAUAACGUCGCAAGACCAAAGAGGGGGACCUUCGGGCCUCUUGCCAUCGGAUGUGCCCAGAUGGGAUUAGCUUGUUGGUGGGGUAACGGCUCACCAAGGCGACGAUCCCUAGCUGGUCUGAGAGGAUGACCAGCCACACUGGAACUGAGACACGGUCCAGACUCCUACGGGAGGCAGCAGUGGGGAAUAUUGCACAAUGGGCGCAAG
rnacentral:rRNA from 1 species